CUUUCCUACGGGGGGCAGCAGUCGGGAAUAUUGCGCAAUGGAGGAAACUCUGACGCAGUGACGCCGCGUAUAGGAAGAAGGUUUUCGGAUUGUAAACUAUUGUCGUUAGGGAAGAUAAAAGACAGUACCUAAGGAGGAAGCUCCGGCUAACUACGUGCCAGCAGCCGCGGUAAUACGUAGGGAGCAAGCGUUGUCCGGAAUGAUUGGGCGUAAAGGGUGCGUAGGCGGCCUGCUAAGUCUGGAGUGAAAGGUACCGGCUCAACCGGUACAGGCUCUGGAAACUGGCGGGCUAGAGAGCAGGAGAG
rnacentral:rRNA from 1 species